rnacentral:tRNA from 1 species
UGGAGCUCAGUUGUUAGAGAGCUUGCCUAGCAAGCAUGAAGUCCUGGGUUCAAUCCCCAGCA